UACGUAGGGGGCUAGCGUUGUUCGGAAUUACUGGGCGUAAAGGGCUCGUAGGCGGCCAACUAGGUCAGACGUGAAAUCCCUCGGCUUAACCGGGGAACUGCAUCUGAUACUGGAUGGCUUGAGUUCGGGAGAGGGAUGCGGAAUUCCAGGUGUAGCGGUGAAAUGCGUAGAUAUCGGAAGGAACAUCAGUGGCGAAAGCGGCUUCCUGGACCAGUACCGACGUCAGGCACGAAAGCGUGGGGAGCGAACAGGA
rnacentral:rRNA from 1 species